CAGCACCUCAGGUGGUCAGGAUGAUUAUUGGGCCUAAAGCAUCCGUAGCCGGCGCUGUAAGUUUUCGGUUAAAUCUGUAUGCUCAACAUACAGGCUGCCGGGAAUACUGCAGAGCUAGGGAGUGGGAGAGGUAGACGCUACUCGGUAGGAAGGGGUAAAAUCCUUUGAUCUAUUGAUGACCACCUGUGGCGAAGGCGGUCUACCAGAACACGUCCGACGGUGAGGGAUGAAAGCUGGGGGAGCAAACCGGAUUAGAUACCCGAGUAGUCC
rnacentral:rRNA from 1 species